CAUAUACUCCCUCCAUCCGGAAAUACUCGUCAGAGAAAUGCAUAAAAAUGGAUGUAUCUAGAACUAAAAUACAUCUAGAUACAACCAUUCCUCCGACAAAUAUUUCUGGACGGAGGGAGUAUAUA
rfam:Triticum aestivum genome assembly, contig: Triticum_aestivum_CS42_TGACv1_scaffold_321613_4BL